AGUGAACGCUGGCGGUAGGCCUAACACAUGCAAGUCGAACGGCAGCACAGUAAGAGCUUGCUCUUACGGGUGGCGAGUGGCGGACGGGUGAGGAAUACAUCGGAAUCUACUUUUUCGUGGGGGAUAACGUAGGGAAACUUACGCUAAUACCGCAUACGACCUACGGGUGAAAGCAGGGGAUCUUCGGACCUUGCGCGAUUGAAUGAGCCGAUGUCGGAUUAGCUAGUUGGCGGGGUAAAGGCCCACCAAGGCGACGAUCCGUAGCUGGUCUGAGAGGAUGAGCAGCCACACUGGAACUGAGACACGGUCCAGACUCCUACGGGAGGCAGCAGUGGGGAAUAUUGGACAGUGGGCGCAAGACUGAUCCAGCCAUACCGCGUGGGUGAAGAAGGCCUUCGGGUUGUAAAGCCCUUUUGUUGGGAAAGAAAAGCAGCAGGUUAAUACCCCGCUGUUCUGACGGUACCCAAAGAAUAAGCACCGGCUAACUUCGU
rnacentral:rRNA from 1 species